AGUGCUAAUACCGCAUGAUGCAGUUGGGUCGCAUGGCUCUGACUGCCAAAGAUUUAUCGCUCUGAGAUGGCCUCGCGUCUGAUUAGCUAGUAGGCGGGGUAACGGCCCACCUAGGCGACGAUCAGUAGCCGGACUGAGAGGUUGACCGGCCACAUUGGGACUGAGACACGGCCCAGACUCCUACGGGAGGCAGCAUG
rnacentral:rRNA from 1 species